UCCUAAAUCGAGCCGAUUAAACCUUUUCCUAUAUAUGAUAAUUUUCUAAUCCGCUAAUUCAAUUUUUCUAGUUUUGGUAUCCUCUUCGAAGAAUCUCAAGUUCUUGUGUUGUUGUUCUUGACUGAGAAGAUAUGGCUCGUACGAAGCAAACCGCGCGUAAAUCGACAGGAGGAAAGGCUCCGAGGAAACAACUCGCAACCAAGGCUGCGAGGAAAUCUGCUCCGACCACCGGAGGAGUCAAGAAGCCUCACCGUUACCGUCCUGGAACUGUCGCCCUUCGUGAAAUUCGCAAGUACCAGAAGAGCACAGAGUUGCUGAUCCGUAAACUGCCGUUCCAGCGUCUUGUUCGUGAAAUCGCUCAGGAUUUCAAGACAGACCUGAGGUUCCAGAGCCAUGCAGUGUUAGCUCUUCAGGAGGCGGCUGAGGCGUACCUGGUGGGUCUAUUCGAGGACACCAACCUCUGCGCCAUUCAUGCCAAGAGGGUCACCAUUAUGCCCAAAGACAUCCAAUUGGCUCGACGGAUUCGCGGAGAGCGAGCUUGAUUUUCGACUACUUGUCCACUAUGUAGCCUUUUCCUUAGUGAGUGGUGGUUAGGUUUUGGAAAUGUAGGUCAUAUGUUAUCUGGAUCCAAAAGAAGGAAUAUGCAACUAUGGCUUCAUAGAAGAUGUGAGACGAUUGAUUGAUCCAGAGGAACGCACGAGGAGUGGGAGUCGAUAAGAAAUACAUGUUUGUUUUGUUGCUGCUUACGAAUUAGAAAAAACAAAAUUCAUAAUCUAAUUAAACCUAAACCUAUUUCUGGGUUAUCAAGACAACCUUGUAUAAUUAAGGAUAUGGUUUUGUAAUUUA